GGCACCUACGGAUACCUGACGCGGCCCACAGCAACAUGGAGGAUUCCACAGAAGUCCAGGGAGCUGAGGGGUCACCUGCCCCAGUGAAGGGGACAGGGAGUGGCCGACGUGGAAGCCAGAAGACCCAGAUGAGCAAGAGUCCUGAGUGAGGCUAUGGAUAAACAGGUACAGAACCAUCUUCUGGGAUCUAGGUUGGUCUCCUCCACAAAGCAAGCUCACACAAGUACAAUCCUGCCCAGCCAUGACCUACCCAUAAGGCAGAGUUUCUUGACCUUAGCACGUUAGAGGCUGGACAAUUCUUGAUUGUAGGGGUAUUGGUAUACCUUGUAUCCCAAGCCUCUCCCCACUAGAUGACUGUAGCACCUUCUCCCCCACCAGUUUAACAACCCAAAGCAACUCCAGACAUCAUCAAAUAUCCCUAUGCUGGCCCAAAUCACCCCUGAUUAAGCAACACUAAUCUACAGUCAGGUCCACUGGAAGAUGUACUCAGCCCCAAAGGAGAGACUGAGCUAGUUGAGCGGACCUCAUCAUCCCUAAUACGUAGCAGACACGAUGCCACCCUAUCCCUUCUCUUCCCUCUUGGAGCCUCUACUGAGGGCAAUCCCACAAAGUGAGAACGUGUACCUCUCCUUACUGGCGUACUCUCCUUCAUCCACUCUCCUCGAAUACAAGUUCCCGGAAUGCAGGAACUACAUCCACCACUCUGAGUUGACGGAAAGUCCCGAAGAGCAAAGGCUCCGUUUCCAUCUCCAGCCUUCCCUUCCACCGCUUCAGAGCUCAAAGAAAUACUUCUCAUUCCCACGGUUGCCCCUCACUGGCACACCCUUUCCCCUGCUGUGCCGCUUAGUUCCCUCGUGCCUGGUAAAACCAGACCCACUGCUUCUCAUGGGACACCAUCCUGGACCGCUUCUCUGCUGCUUCCCAGGACCUUCAUUUCCUCGAUUUCAUUGGAGAAAGCAAGACCUGAGUCUAAUGAACAUCCUAUCCCCCAGGAGCCAGGCCAGAUCCACAAUCCUUUACCUAUGAUCCCCAAAUCCAAAAAGCUCUGAAAACGGACAGAACUUCUGUAUAAUGGUGGCAAAACCUGAUUUGAUUUAACAUGAGCUUCUAAUUCUUGCC
rnacentral:lncRNA from 1 species